rnacentral:rRNA from 1 species
UACGAAGGGUGCAAGCGUGACUCGGAAUUACUGGGCGUAAAGCGUGCGUAGGUGGUUGUUUAAGUCUGCUGUGAAAGCCCUGGGCUCAACCUGGGAAUUGCAGUGGAUACUGGGCGACUAGAGUGUGGUAGAGGAUAGUGGAAUUUCCGGUGUAGCAGUGAAAUGCGUAGAGAUCGGAAGGAACAUCUGUGGCGAAGGCGACUAUCUGGGCCAACACUGACACUGAGGCACGAAAGCGUGGGGAGCAAACAGG